UAAUUAUGAGAACAAAGAUGCAAAGAAAGAGGACAAGUAAAGUUACAGUGGAAGGACAAUCACCCAUAAACAGAAUUAUCAGAAAUCCCCUUGCUGAUAUUUUAACUUUGAACUUUCAGCCAAAGAAUAUUAAGAAAAAUAAAACAGAACCCAUGUACAA